rnacentral:tRNA from 1 species
CAGAUAUAUAUUUUAGGAUAAAUUAAUUUUUUACAAUAAUUAAAUUAAGCUGUUCAAUUCAGUUUUAUCUGA